rnacentral:piRNA from 1 species
UCCAAGUCUGCUCUACAGGGAAAGUGUUGGU